AGUGAACGCUGGCGGUAGGCCUAACACAUGCAAGUCGAACGGCAGCACAGGAGAGCUUGCUCUCUGGGUGGCGAGUGGCGGACGGGUGAGGAAUACAUCGGAAUCUACUCUGUCGUGGGGGAUAACGUAGGGAAACUUACGCUAAUACCGCAUACGACCUACGGGUGAAAGCAGGGGAUCUUCGGACCUUGCGCGAUUGAAUGAGCCGAUGUCGGAUUAGCUAGUUGGCGGGGUAAAGGCCCACCAAGGCGACGAUCCGUAGCUGGUCUGAGAGGGUGAUCACCCACACUGGAACUGAGACACGGUCCAGACUCCUACGGGAGGCAGCAGUGGGGAAUAUUGGACAAUGGGCGCAAGCCUGAUCCAGCCAUACCGCGUGGGUGAAGAAGGCCUUCGGGUUGUAAAGCCCUUUUGUUGGGAAAGAAAUCCAGCUGGCUAAUACCCGGUUGGGAUGACGGUACCCAAAGAAUAAGCACCGGCUAACUUCGUGCCAGCCGCCGCGGUAA
rnacentral:rRNA from 1 species